GAAAUGCGAUAAGUAAUGUGAAUUGCAGAAUUCAGUGAAUCAUCGAAUCUUUGAACGCACCUUGCGCUCCUUGGUAUUCCUUGGAGCAUGCCUGUUUGAGUAUCAUGAAAUCUUCAAAGUAAAUCUUUUGUUAACUCAAUUGGUUUCUACUUUGGUAUUGGAGGUCUUUGCAGCUUCACACCUGCUCCUCUUUGUUCAUUAGCUGGAUCUCAGUGUUAUGCUUGGUUCCACUCGGCGUGAUAAGUUAUCUAUCGCUGAGGACACUGUAAAAGGUGGCCAAGGUAAAUGCAGAUUAACCGCUUCUAAUAGUCCAUUGACUUGGACAAUACUUUUAUGAUCUGAUCUCAAAUCAGGUAGGACUAUCCGCUGAACUUAAGC
rnacentral:misc_RNA from 1 species